GGACAGAAAGGGUUAGGUGGCUGUGCUAGGGGACAGGAAGGAGCAAGCUGGACAUGCAGCAGGAAGGCAGAAGGAGGAGAGAAAGAGCCAGAGCUGUGUGGAGCUAUUCAUGGGACUGCAACAUAGAAAAGUACGGGGGCCACCCCAUUCGAGGGAUGCCAGAUCAAGCUGCUGCUACGUUUCGUAUCAAACCCAAAGUGUUGUUGCUUUUGCACUUACCUUUCACUCGGGCAAAGACUGACCGUGACUCAUGUAACCGGGGCGUUCCACCAGAGCUGCUGCUCCUGGCAGCAGGAGUGCUCGAGCACACUGACUCAGCUCUCUCUGGAUGGCCACGUGUGACGGGGAAGUUCAGAACAGCAUCCUCUGGGACACCUUGCAUGCAGCGUGAACAUGUGCUUACUUCCUGUCCUUCCUUUCUUCUCCAUCCCUCUGAAUGUCUCUGUGGGGCCUCGGGAGCCCCUCCAUGUGCUGGCCCGGGUGACAGGAAUGCCAGACAGGAUCACUAGAGCAUCAUGUUGCUCUGGACACAGCACCAGCUGCGGGCUGCAGCCAUCAGCUGGAGCUAACAAAAUUGGAUGUCCACAGCUGUGCAAAGCACUGCUUCCAGCAUCAGCGCUCCAGACUGAAGGCUCGUACUCACUCCUCAUGGAUGGGGUGCAAAAGGUUCGUAAAACUUUGUGUCCUUGGGCAAAGAAAAGCACUGCAUCUGCCAGUGCAAAAUGCCUGGAAGGAAGAAAGGGAGGGAAGGAGGGAGAGUGAGACAGAGAAAAUACCUGAACUGUGACUUUUGUUAUCUCUGAAGAAGACUUUUUUUCUAAUGUUCUUCUUUCUUUGAAAAAAGGAAACAAAAGCAGGCAGUAGAACACGUCCUGUCAAAUUCUGACCCAACCGUUUUGUGCAACAGUACUGAACAAAGGGAAGUUCGGGGUGUUGUUAAACUCUCCCAGCACACCCACUGCUAACCCCGUACUGGGGUGCAGUCCCCCCAUUCCUCUCCCCUGACAAACUUCGCUGAUUAGUUUCUGUCAUCACACCCGGGCUGACUUCUGCACCCUGAUCUCCAAACAGUGACCUCAUUGCCUUGUUCAGCUGGUGAGAAACGACAGUAAAAUGGAAGAGGUAAACAAAGUGGGGGGAACUAAUGGCCAGAAGAUUUAGGAGGCAGGAAUCUCCUCCUUGCAACCCUGCUCCCAUUGUGUGCCUGAGCUUGAGAAAGUGCAAGCUGAGUCUUGACAAGCUCUUUUCUGUGACGGUUCCUCUGGAAACUCAGCCCAGUCCUCCAGAUGGUGACUUGGGACAGACAGACCACAAAUUAUACGUCAAAUAGUACUAGACCCACGCUCCUGUCUCUGCAACAAAUUCUGCAUAGUACUGGAAUUCACCACCUUCUGCAGCAGGAGCUCAUCAUUCCCAGCCCAACUGUCUCACCAAGAUAUAAAUAUUAAAAAAACAAAAGCCUGUGUUGUCACGGAGCUGAAUUUGUGUCUGCUCUGUGCAGCCAGCAGUGUGCCUACCUCUAACGGAGCUGCGGUUCACGUUCACACUGAUUAGAGAAAUAGCAUUAACAACGCUCUGCCUAUGAGGAGUAUCUUCAUUACUCCUACACAAUGCAGCCUUCAAUAUCUUCCUUUUGGGACGUGUUUCAAAGUGUCACCCUGUCCCUGACCCUGACAGACACCUCCAGGUCCUGGCCAGCAGCAGCUCAACUCCCAUUUGUCUUCCCAGACACUCAGUAAACACCUUUGUGUCCUUUUUCUUUAGAGGAAGGGGUCUUGCUGAGCUCACCCUGAAAUAUAUCACCCUGGACAAAAGGGCUGAAAGGUUAAGGAGCUCCAGGGGGUGGUUCAGCAGAGGGCUGGGGCCAGUUGCCUGCCAGAACCAAAGCUAUAAAGACAGAGAGGGGCUAGGGACCACAUCCAACACGGAUGCUGUGAGCCCUGCCCUGCCUCCCACCAGCCCUGGGCUAAGAAGAUGCUGGGGCUUCGGUUGUGGCCUUGCUCCUUUUUCCUCUUCUCGGUCCUGCUCUCUGCCAGCGUUCAGACAGUGUCCUUACCAGGACAGAGGCUACAGGUAGGAGGGAGUGGGAGAGAGCUGAGGUUGAUUUCAGGAGGGGAGGAGGAGGGGAGGUUGUGUUUGAACCUCGAAUGAGAGGUGGUCUCAGAUUCCAACUACAAGGAGGUUUCUGUCUGUUCUUGUUGCACUCUCCCCUUCAUCAGCCUCAGCUCCAGGGUGACUUUAUAACCCAGCCACUAAGGAGCACCAGCAUUGCAAGACAGGAAACAGACAAAGGCUUUUUAGAGCUCUGCAAAAGCUUUAAACAGUGAAGAGCCUGGUCCUUUCUAAGCCCACUCUGUGUCAGCAGCCACCAAAUAUUAGUCGUGUUUAUCAUCAUGUUCAGUGCCUGGUUCUGAUGCUUCAGAGGGAAGAUGGAUCCUGUUAGGCCUGUUUACUCCUAAGCUCAGUACUACCCCCCUUAAAGGGGGCCCUCUUUAAGGCCAAGAGCCCUGUCAGGAUGCCAGCUAGGGGCUUCUUUGCUUGAGUAAAUCUUUUAUUCUCAGCAAUUACAGCAAUAAUAUUUUUGGCUUUCAAAUGUAGCCAGCUCCCUGUUACCAAACCCUAACCUGAGCCUCAGCACCCUGCCUUUACAUCACUCUGGGAAAGGCACAGGGGAAUAGUCAGGACAUGAACUACAAUCACAAGACUGAUCCUGCCGUGACUCACCACUUUCAUUCCUCGAUGAGGAUGCCUGUGUCCGCUUCAGUUAACUUGCUACCACAAAGAGCUGCACAAAGGCAUCCUCAGCCUUAGCUCAGCAUCCAUGUGAGAGACAGAUGUGGAACGGCUCCUGCUGGCUGCUUCUCUGGGCAGCAAUGCCGUGCCUCCACCGCACCCAACACACCCCCCCAACCCUCGUCUCCCAGCAGUGCUGGGGGUUUACAGUUGGCACAGCUAACCGAGAGAUUUCCAGCACAUGGAGAGACCCCUUUCCUCACACCUGCUCUGCUCCUGCCUCUCUCUCAUCUUUAGCAGCAGGU